AUGCUAAUAAAGCUUGAACUCAUUUCACUAGGAAGUUUUGAAAAUUGGAUUUACCCAGCUGAACAAGAGUCUUCCCUGGUUGGAGACUUGUUGCCACCGGAUACUCAUAUGCUCCCUCUAUUGCAAGUGCUGAUUAUUAGAGAUUGCCCGAAACUCUUGGGGUUUCCUUUCUCAAACCACAUUGUUUCCCUAAAUUGGUUUCCCAAACUACAAGAGCUUCAGGUACUAGACUGUCCAGAAUUAUCGUCAGUAAUUCCCAUCUCCUGGAUUGAAAAUCUGUGUUCUGUCAGGAUGAAAUGUGUAAAGCUACUGGAGAAGUUUGCAUACUCAAAAUCAUUCAAUGAAGCAAAAUUGGAAAUUAUUGGAAAGGGUGAUCUGCACAGCUUAGAGCAAGUGUUAGUUUCUGAUAAAGAAACGGGUAUAGAGACGCUGACACUGGACAAGUGCCCACCUCUGGAGUUGAAGCACCUUUUGAUGCUAACCUCGCUGAGGAGAUUGAUUGUACAAAAUUCAGUUGUUCUAGUUGGACCACUAGGAGGAGGUCAGACUGAUUUGGAAUGGCAGCUCCCUGUUGAGUAUAUCGGGAUCAAUGAAUCCAAAACAUUAACGUGCGCAUCAAUGGUGCCUCCUCGCGCGUUCGCAUGUACGACAAAAAGUUACAUCCAUCAGGCACCCAUCGCUCGUCCCCGUCUUUACUAUGUCAAAGUAAAAAGAAACUAG
rnacentral:rRNA from 1 species